rnacentral:rRNA from 1 species
GACGAACGCUGGCGGCAGGCCUAACACAUGCAAGUCGAGCGCCCCGCAAGGGGAGCGGCGGACGGGUGAGUAACGCGUGGGAAUCUGCCCUUUGGUGUGGGACAACCACGGGAAACUGUGGCUAAUACCGCAUGAGCCCGAGAGGGGAAAGCAGCAAUGCGCCGAAGGAUGAGCCCGCGUCGGAUUAGCUAGUUGGUGGGGUAAUGGCCCACCAAGGCGAUGAUCCGUAGCUGGUCUGAGAGGAUGAUCAGCCACACUGGGACUGAGACACGGCCCAGACUCCUACGGGAGGCAGCAGUGGGGAAUAUUGGACAAUGGGGGAAACCCUGAUCCAGCCAUGCCGCGUGAGUGAUGAAGGCCUUAGGGUUGUAAAGCUCUUUCGACGGGGACGAUGAUGACGGUACCCGUAGAAGAAGCCCCGGCUAACUUCGUGCCAGCAGCCGCGGUAA